rnacentral:rRNA from 1 species
UACGUAGGUGGCAAGCGUUGUCCGGAUUUAUUGGGUUUAAAGGGUGCGUAGGCGGUCCUAUAAGUCAGUGGUGAAAUGCUCUAGCUUAACUAGAGAGGUGCCAAUGAUACUGUAGGACUUGAGUACAGAUGAGGUAGGCGGAAUUGACGGUGUAGCGGUGAAAUGCAUAGAUAUCGUCAAGAACACCUAUAGCGAAGGCAGCUUACUGGGCUGUAACUGACGCUGAGGCACGAAAGUGUGGGGAUCAAACAGG